rnacentral:rRNA from 1 species
CAGUAGCCGCGGGAAUACGGAGGGUGCAAGCGUUAAUUGGAAUUACUGGGCGUAAAGCGCACGCAGGCGGUCUGACAAGUCAGAUGUGAAAUCCCCGGGCUUAACCUGGGAACUGCAUUUGAAACUGUCAGGCUGGAGUCUUGUAGAGGGGGGUGGAAUUCCAGGUGUAGCGGUGAAAUGCGUAGAGAUCUGGAGGAAUACCGGUGGCGAAGGCGGCCCCCUGGACAAAGACUGACGCUCAGGUGCGAAAGCGUGGGGAGCAAACAGGAUUAGAUACCCCGGUAGUCCCUGUCUCUUAUAC